rnacentral:lncRNA from 1 species
CAGAGAGCCUGCCUAGAGUCUGGAUUUUUUAAGCUGCUGGAUACCAGGUGCUACCUGACACCAGCUCAUCCCCUGCCUCUAGAGUCCUGGAGGGCUUUGAGUUGAUCACUUUCCACUCCAGGAAUGUUAUAAGAAACCGCUCAGAAAGGUGAUUGCAAAUCUAUGGAUGAGACCAAGGGAGAAUUUUCACGCCAUCAUAGCAUUUUAUUCCUCACCUGACUGGGAGCAGCUCGAAGGGAAGGACAUGUCUCCAAAGACAUGAGGAGUAUUCAACGUGGCAUUCGAGGCGCAAGGAAAAACCUGCCUAUCCCAAGAUCUCAGCCCCAUCAGCCAGCCAAGGGAUCCACAAUGACCCUUAUGAAGUUUCAUAAGGAAGCUAAUUGCUUAAAUGAGAUUUGAGUCAAGAAGGAUGACCUAGCAAUAACCUCUAUAUAUCUCAUUAUGCCAAAACUUAAAUGGCUACAUAAGAGGACAGUCCAGUGACAGACAUGGAAAGAGGCUUAGAGGUCAUCUCAUUCAUCACACCAUUUUACAGAGGAAAGCAAAAUGCCAUCCAGAGAAGGAAAGUCACAAAGCCAUCUAACCCCAGACCUGGGAGUAGCAGCUGAUCACAGCGGGUCGGACACAAGAAGCUGCUUCCAAAAAUCUUUCCUUCCAUUUGUCCUACAGAGAAGACAUCAGAAAACAAAAUUUUAUAAGCAUGUCUCUAGCUCUAACUCACUAUUCAACUAAAGGACAAAUUAAAUAGGGAAUGAGAUAACCUUAACUUCAUGAGAUUUGUUCUUAUAUGCAGUUUUCUACCCUGAGAAACCAAUCUAUGCUAAAGAUAAUAUUUGUGCUUUUCAAUGAGGCUGGUAAAAUAUUUGCACUUUGAAGCUCAGAGCGAUAACAUUUAUUCAUUCGGGUGAAACUUAUCAGGAUUAGGUAAAUAUA